CAGGGCUCAACUGGAUGUGACAAAUUCUAUUUUCGUUAAAAUACUGUAAACAAAACAUACACAAUUCAUGUGAAUAUACAAGUGUAACUUUAAUAACUUAGCCUUUAACUUAAGCAGGUUUUUCAAAAAUGGCAACUGUGGUUUCAUUAUGAUGUUCUGGAUAAAAGACGAUUUUACUUUCCAACCCGACAUGAACAAAAUUUGAGCUUUACAUCCUGACCUUUAAAUCAACAAAAUGCAUUGCGUGUCAAUUCAAUCGAUGAUAAACACUUAUUUUUCCGGAGCAAUCAAUAUUAGAUCCAUGUUAAUUUAUGGCAAACAAAUGUUUAUGGAAUUAGUAAUGAAAUCAAUAACCAAAUAGCCAAUAUUCAUAUUACAGAAACAAAUCAAACAGGUUCUGAAACAUUUGUAAUUAAAUGUCUGCAUAAAGCAGUUUGAUUGGGAUUUGACAGAAAAUACACUCCACAUGAUUCCCCACCACCAGUUACCUGACAUGCCAAACACUCAAUUGGCCUUUCUAUCUAAAGUAUCUUAUAUAAGAAAUAAGGACAACCCAUCAUGUUAAAUCAAGAGUGGUAUAUUAGUGCAUCAGCCAAAAGAGCACACACUUUCAUUACCCAGGAGCUCAUAUUAACGUACAUUUCUACUUUUAAGGGGGUCAUAGUCCAGCUUGACUUCCAUACAUCAGAACAAAGCUGGACUGUACAUGUGCGGCUCUCCAAAUCCUCUGACCUGGAUUUGAAAAGCACUUAAAGGGCACUUCAAUUUCAGGACGACACAGUUUUUCUCUACUUCCGUACCUCUCCUGAGAGAAAGCUCUGCUGAACAUCAUUCGUACAGCACAAAGAUUUACCUAACCCCUGAACCAAAUCAUAACAGCCUUGAAAUGUAAAAUGUCAACAAUUGCACCAUUGUAUCAUAAGCCUCACUUCCUUUGCCUUUCUUUUGAUGUCUAUAUGGUUCAUU